GGUUGUUUUGGUGCAUCGUUUGGGUGGACUUAGCUAAAAGGUGGGCCAAGCAGUGGUGGGCCUGCAUGUUGUUAGUCAAAGCGGUGCCGUGACACCCGUCCAACAAUCGAGAAACCCAUCCCUACUCACGAUACAACAAAGAAAGAAACUGAUUUCUCUCUCCCCAAUCACUGGCCUGCAGUUCUUGCAUUUGGGGCUGCCGCCUUCCUCUUCCUCCUUCCUCCUGGUCACCGGCGGCGGCCGCUACUGUUCAUUAUCUUGCAUGAGCUUCCCGCUGUGAUUUGCCGGUGCGGCCGGAUCUGGUGGCGAGUCUGCGCCCCCGAUCUCUCCCAUCUCUCUCUUCCUCCACCACCGCUACCAUCUUUACCAAGGGCUGGGAUCCGAUUCUCCCUCCUAGGUUGCUGCGGCGCCUACUGAAGCAUCCGAGGACGCAACAAGCCCGCUCUCUCCCAAGGUGGCUAGCUGCGCGGCGGUGGAGCUCGGCGCAAUCAUAUCGUUCAGGGGGAGGAUGGCGAUGCAGAGGAGGACCCCAGUGGCCAGGGCGCCCGCCUCUCCCUCCCGAGACGUUUUACAACGUCGGCGGCAUCGCGCUCGCCCACGCGCUCGGUGACGAAAAGGAGGCGGAGGGAUCAAACGACCACCAAGAAACCUUCUUCGUCCUCAGCAACGCCGUGCCUCGCGAUGAUGGCCACCAUGGCUCGCCCCCGUAUUCAUCCCAGGCUAUCCCAUGGCCUAGGGUUCUCGGCCAACUACCCUGGCAGCUCCCGCCGCAGCUCUCCCGCACGCUGGUUCGAUCCCGGUGGUUGGGGGCAGCAGCGAAAACCUGCUGACAGGAGGGUGGAGGCCAGCGAAGUAGAAAGCGCCCGCUGGGUUUUCUGCAUCCUGUGGCGGCCCUGUUCACGUUCGGACUGCUGUUCCUGGGAGUUGCGUAUGGUCCACGUUGCCACUCCGCUGUUCGACCUUGGGUUGGCCGCGAUGCACGCUGGGAUCGCAUCCUGGCCCUGGCUUAACUCACUCCUCGCCGCGAUUCACACGUUCUGUACAUGAGUUAUUACUCCAGAGAGGCUUCAAGAAGCAGGUGGGAUUACCUUGAAGUGAACAAAGUCCAAGAACUGGAUGGUGUUGAUCACUUCCAUCAUUAGGUUGUUGCACGGAGCUUCUGGUGGAUGAUGCUUUUGCUCUGCUCUUGGGCGUUUGGGUCGUUCUCUUUUCUGCUUGUGUACGAGGUUUUUUUUUCCAGGUUUGAUUCCUGGUGUAUUCUAUAUUUUGCUGAUUGUUGUGUGAAUGUUGUGGUUUAGCUUCGUGGUUGUGUGUGAUGAGUGAUGCAGCUGGUGAGUCGGGUGUAUGGUAGGAAAUGGUGUGGUUUGGUUUGUUUGGGGUUGUGCUAUUUUAGUUUGCUCGCUUGUUCGUGUGAGCCGCAUGCACCCUUUGUGCAGCCGCCUGCUGGCCGCCGGCCUGGUAGACGUUCUUUUCUUUGAUUUUUCUUUCGUGCAUUUUGUUGUUGCCUUUUUAAAUUUGUUUUCUGUUGUAUGUGAUUUGGUUUUUUUCUUUAAUAUGCAUCAUAGCAUCGGUGAAUCGUGCUAAUAUAUGGUAAUUUGCAAUGAAGCAUAACUGUAGGACAGAAAGUUGUAAUCUUUCUUUUUUAUCAAUUUUCAGAACUGAAUCAUAGGAAGGUUAACUGAGACUAUCUUCGCAGUAUUUUUGUCGGUUUUCAGUAAACUCGUGCAAAAAUGUAGUCUUGUGCAAAUAAUUGUACGGUUGAGAACUUGACAUCCCAAACUUCACAGGUAGUUCAUUAUUAUCUACUAAUUGUCAUUGGUUAGCUUCUGCAUUGUAGCUGAUAAAACGAAGAGAAACUUUGACUACUAUUUUUUGGAGUUUAGCAUGUCUGAUUGCUUACUAGAUCCCCUUUGAUGUUCUUAGUGAUUUCUAUUCAUGAGCAUGUAGUGGCAAGACAUACACAAUGCACCCUUUUCGUCUUAGAUUUGCACAAGACAUGUGAAGCUGGUACUAGAAGGGAAAUAUAAUUUUUACUCUGAAUUGGGGUCUUCUAUAAUUAUGUGUUCUGUUUGAGUAGAUGUUUUUCUAGAGUUGUUGCAUGCAGUCCCAUGUAUGGAUAUUCAUAGCCACACAUUUUCAGUAUGUACUCUGCAUCAGUUAAUUGAUGUUAUUUUCUUGCUCCUUCAC